rnacentral:rRNA from 1 species
UACAGAGGUCUCAAGCGUUGUUCGGAUUCAUUGGGCGUAAAGGGUGCGUAGGCGGCGCGGUAAGUCGGGGGUGAAAUCUCGGAGCUUAACUCCGAAACUGCAUUCGAUACUGUCGUGCUUGAGGACUGGAGAGGAGACUGGAAUUUACGGUGUAGCGGUGAAAUGCGUAGAUAUCGUAAGGAAGACCAGUGGCGAAGGCGGGUCUCUGGACAGUUCCUGACGCUGAGGCACGAAGGUCAGGGGAGCAAACGGG